rnacentral:rRNA from 1 species
GACGAACGCUGGCGGCGUGCCUAAUACAUGCAAGUUGAGCGCUGAAGGUUGGUACUUGUACCAACUGGAUGAGCAGCGAACGGGUGAGUAACGCGUGGGGAAUCUGCCUUUGAGCGGGGGACAACAUUUGGAAACGAAUGCUAAUACCGCAUAAAAACUUUAAACACAAGUUUUAAGUUUGAAAGAUGCAAUUGCAUCACUCAAAGAUGAUCCCGCGUUGUAUUAGCUAGUUGGUGAGGUAAAGGCUCACCAAGGCGAUGAUACAUAGCCGACCUGAGAGGGUGAUCGGCCACCUUGGGACUGAGACACGGCCCAAACCCCUACGGGAGGCAGCAGUAGUGAAUCGUCGGCAAUGGACGAAAGUCUGACCGAGCAACGCCGCGUGAGUGAAGAAGGUUCUCGGAUCGUAAAACUCUGUUGGUAGAGAAGAACGUUGGUGAGAGUGGAAAGCUCAUCAAGUGACGGUAACUACCCAGAAAGGGACGGCUAAGUACGUG